UGUCUAGAAGCCUCCUAGUGCAGAGCUCACAACAACAGGGCUGUGAAUCGAUUGCCUUUGUGGGCAAAUCACGUCCAGUCUUGAGACGAUUUCUGGGCAACAUAAGCUGAAAAUGAUUUGUCUUCCCUUAUCUGGUCAUCCAGGAAAAAUACCAGGACCAUAACAAUUUCCUUGUGAAGAAAGAGCACUGGUUUUGAAGUCAGAAGGUGCAGAGAGCAGUCUUUUACUUGGUUGGGAGAGUGAGCUACAGGAAUCUGGGAACUGGAAUCCAGGCUUGGUUUUGUAGCCAACAUAAUAACAUCGAUGCCUAAGGAUCAUGGAGUGGCCUCUGGGAUAUAUUUUCUGGACCUCUACCAAUGAAAGUUGAAGCAAGCUCUUAUAUAAUAGCAAUGCCAUCAUUGAUGUGAACUUGUUGGGACUCUUGCUAUGUAAGAACUGAGCUAAGUUUUGAACCUAUCCACCAGAGACUGAAGCUAUGUAGACGAGACUAUGUCUUGGAGAUAUCAGAAUAAAUGUUCUAUAAAAUGUC